rnacentral:rRNA from 1 species
UGGGGAAUAUUGCACAAUGGGCGCAAGCCUGAUGCAGCCAUGCCGCGUGUGUGAAGAAGGCCUUCGGGUUGUAAAGCACUUUCAGCGAGGAGGAAGGUGGUGAGCUUAAUACGCUCAUCAAUUGACGUUACUCGCAGAAGAAGCACCGGCUAACUCCGUGCCAGCAGCCGCGGUAAUACGGAGGGUGCAAGCGUUAAUCGGAAUUACUGGGCGUAAAGCGCACGCAGGCGGUUUGUUAAGUCAGAUGUGAAAUCCCCGGGCUCAACCUGGGAACUGCAUUUGAAACUGGCAAGCUAGAGUCUCGUAGAGGGGGGUAGAAUUCCAGGUGUAGCGGUGAAAUGCGUAGAGAUCUGGAGGAAUACCGGUGGCGAAGGCGGCCCCCUGGACGAAGACUGACGCUCAGGUGCGAAAAGGCGUGGGGCAGCAAACAGGAUUAGAUACCCCUGGUAGUCCACGCUGUAAAACGAUGUCGAUUUUGGAGGUUGUGCCCUUGAGGCGUGGCUUCCGGAGCUAACGCGUUAAAUCGA